AUUGAACGCUGGCGGCAGGCUUAACACAUGCAAGUCGAGCGGGGGAAGGUAGCUUGCUACUGGACCUAGCGGCGGACGGGUGAGUAAUGCUUAGGAAUCUGCCUAUUAGUGGGGGACAACAUCUCGAAAGGGAUGCUAAUACCGCAUACGUCCUACGGGAGAAAGCAGGGGAUCUUCGGACCUUGCGCUAAUAGAUGAGCCUAAGUCGGAUUAGCUAGUUGGUGGGGUAAAGGCCUACCAAGGCGACGAUCUGUAGCGGGUCUGAGAGGAUGAUCCGCCACACUGGGACUGAGACACGGCCCAGACACCUACGGGAGGCAGCAGUGGGGAAUAUUGGACAAUGGGGGGAACCCUGAUCCAGCCAUGCCGCGUGUGUGAAGAAGGCCUUAUGGUUGUAAAGCACUUUAAGCGAGGAGGAGGCUACUUUAGUUAAUACCUAGAGAUAGUGGACGUUACUCGCAGAAUAAGCACCGGCUAACUCUGUGCCAGCAGCCGCGGUAAUACAGAGGGUGCGAGCGUUAAUCGGAUUUACUGGGCGUAAAGCGUGCGUAGGCGGCUUAUUAAGUCGGAUGUGAAAUCCCCGAGCUUAACUUGGGAAUUGCAUUCGAUACUGGUGAGCUAGAGUAU
rnacentral:rRNA from 1 species